AUACGGGGGGUGCAAGCGUUAUUCGGAAUUAUUGGGCGUAAAGAGCGCGUAGGCGGUUUUUUAAGUCAGAUGUGAAAGCCCGGGGCUCAACCCCGGAAGUGCAUUUGAAACUGAAGGACUUGAGUAUGGGAGAGGGAAGUGGAAUUCCUGGUGUAGAGGUGAAAUUCGUAGAUAUCAGGAGGAACACCGGUGGCGAAGGCGACUUCCUGGACCAAUACUGACGCUGAGGCGCGAAGGCGUGGGGAGCAAACAGGAUUAGAUACCCUGGUAGUCCACGCAGUAAACGGUGAUCACUAGGUGUAGCGGGUAUUGACCCCUGCUGUGCCGGAGUUAACGCAUUAAGUGAUCCGCCUGGGGAGUACGGUCGCAAGAUUAAA
rnacentral:rRNA from 1 species